rnacentral:rRNA from 1 species
UACGUAGGUGGCAAGCGUUGUCCGGAUUUAUUGGGUUUAAAGGGUGCGUAGGCGGUUGAUUAAGUCAGUUGUGAAAUACGGCAGCUUAACUGUCGAGGUGCAAUUGAUACUGGUUGACUUGAGUACAGACGAGGUAGGCGGAAUUGACGGUGUAGCGGUGAAAUGCAUAGAUAUCGUCAAGAACACCGAUAGCGAAGGCAGCUUACUAGACUGUAACUGACGCUGAGGCACGAAAGUGUGGGGAU